rnacentral:rRNA from 1 species
AUAUCAGUCAUGCAUAGCAUAUCAAUAAGCGGAGGAAAAGAAACUAACAAGGAUUCCCCUAGUAACGGCGAGUGAAGCGGGAAGAGCUCAAAUUUGAAAUCUUAAAGGGUUUCCCUUUACGAAUUGUAGUUUAAAGAAGUGUUUUCUGUUGAGGUUUUGGUAAAAGUUCUUUGGAAUAGGACAUCAUAGAGGGUGAGAAUCCCGUAUUUGACCUUUACUUUCAACUUUGUGAUACACUUUCAAAGAGUCGGAUUGUUUGGGAAUGCAGUCCAAAAUGGGUGGUAAAUUUCAUCUAAAGCUAAAUAUUGGCGAGAGACCGAUAGCGAACAAGUACCGUGAGGGAAAGAUGAAAAGAACUUUGAAAAGAGAGUUAAACAGUACGUGAAAUUGUCAAAAGGGAAGCGUUUGAUACCAGUGUUGUUUUUCUGAAAAUCAAUUAAAGAACUGUUUAUGCUAAGUUGUUUAGACUUUAUCAGCUAACUGUUUAGUUUUGAGCUUUUCUUUAAUGCACUUUUCAGUUAACAAGUCAACAUCAAUUUCUUUUGCUGUAAAAAAGCUUGAGGAAGGUGGCUUGAGAUUCGUCUUAAGUGUUUAUAGCCUCUUGCCUAUGCAGUCGGAGAGAUUGAGGUCUGCAGCGUAGAUCCUUCGGGGCUAAAUGCAUUUGUGCUAAGUUAUAGCAUUUUAUAGACAACUUGUUGACUAUGAUUUGUCUUGUAGCUUACUCGCUUAUGUUAUUUUACCUACGCUUAGGAUGUUGACGCGCGUGUGUGCGUG